GACACCAUCAACAAGAAAUUUCCAGGACAUAUUUGGGAUGAAGAGAUUUACAGCAACAAAAUGGCGCCCAACGUAUUGGGCAGCACCUCAGCCUGGAGCCAUAGGGAACACAACUGCCUGCGAGGUAGUUUUGGGCAGACACAGUGAACUAAUAGGGGAAUCUAUGCCCAAGAGAGCCUUUCUGUGUUCACUACUCUGUAUCCUGCUCCCAGACUUUGCCUCCCCCACCCUUGUUUCUAGGACAACCAGACUGGAUUUCCUACUGCUUGUUUAUGCUGAGGAUUGCCUGAAAUCAGCACAGAAGCACACCCUGCCAGCUGCAACCCAAACCAGGGACACAGACAACCACGUGGGUCUUUCUAUAAUCAGCCCCUUCCUAUGCAUAAAGAACCAUGGAGAUAAAGGUAUUAAGGGCUCCGGACCAGGUAAUUCAUUGACAUAAAGAGAGAUAUAUAACCUUUUGAUACUUAAAGAUGGGAAACACAGUAAAUAUCUUGUGGGACGGUGAUAGGCAGCCUAUUUUGGUUGAAUGGGGCUUGCUCUGGUGACCCAAUAGAGUAAUUUACAAGUGAUGGAAAGGCGAGCCAUGUUCCCAGAAUCAGGUGCCUGAGCAUAAUCCUGUGGCUAUCAGUCAUGCAGACAAUGUCCCAAGCUUCUGGCAUUCUGGCUAGACUCCAUCCCCACAGAUACCUGACUAUAUCCAGGAAUGCUCCUCCCCACAGUUACCUGACUAUAGCAGGUGUGCUCCUCCCCACAAGCCACUCCUCUCUUUUUAAGCCCUCACCUUUCUUACUCUCUAGCCCUCCUUCUCUUUCCCUUCCCCACUCUCUCCACAUGGCCAUGGCCAGUCUCUACCUUCUCUCCUUCUCCCUGCCUUUCUACAAUAAAGCUCUAAAACCAUAGACUGUCUCUGAUCAAGGCCUGCCGUGCUUAAACAAUCUCCAAAGAGCCACAUCUAACCUCCCGCCAGAAGGCUAUCCUGUGCUCCAGCCACUGACCUGACCAAGGACUCUCACCUGCUUGGGAACCAUCCUGUGCUUCCUCCUCUCCCUUUCCCCCUGCCAUCUCCUCCCUUCAUCUCUGGGACCGAGUGCUGCCCCAGGGUCCCUAAUUCUGUUCUCAGCCUUUCCACCAUAUCCAGCGUGGGAUGCCAGAGGCUGCCCCUUGUCCACCAACCGCCGUGUGGGGUCAGUGGCUUAAUACAGCCAGAUGCCCACCUGGGGCAGCGUAGAAAGCAUGCGCAGUCCUCCCGCAUUUGCCCGCCAAGAACACCAGAACUCUGGCGGGACACGGGUUCUCUCCCACUCCCCUCUUUCCCCCACACCCACUCAAGAUGGUACCCACUCAAGAUGGUACCAGCUAAAGAAGCGCUCUGCACACAGAGACUCCAAACUGC
rnacentral:lncRNA from 1 species